UCAGACAUGGUGUGCGGAACAUCGCCAGCUUUCAUGAAGACACGCAAGUUGGGUCGCUGGCAGUCCGGGGUUCGACUCCCGGUGUCUGAA